GGAAUUCGAUUUUCCGGUUGAUCCUGCCGGACCUGACUGCUAUCGGAUUGAUACUAAGCCAUGCGAGUCAUUGUAGUAAUACAAGGCAGACGGCUCAGUAACGCGUAGUCAACCUACCCUAUGGACGGGAAUAACCUCGGGAAACUGAGUAUAAUGCCCGAUAGAACAUUAUUCCUGGAAUGGUUUAUGUUCCAAAUGAUUUAUCGCCAUAGGAUGGGACUGCGGCCUAUCAGUUUGUUGGUGAGGUAAUGGCCCACCAAGACUAUUACAGGUACGGGCUCUGAGAGGAGAAGCCCGGAGAUGGGUACUGAGACACGGACCCAGGCCCUAUGGGGCGCAGCAGGCGAGAAACCUUUGCAAUGUGCGCAAGCACGACAAGGUUAAUCCGAGUGUUUCCUGCUAAAGGAAUCUUUUGCUAGUCCUAAAAACACUAGUGAAUAAGGGGUGGGCAAGUUCUGGUGUCAGCCGCCGCGGUAAAACCAGCACCUCAAGUUGUCAGGAGGAUUAUUGGGCCUAAAGCAUCCGUAGCCGGCUCUGUAAGUUUUCGGUUAAAUCUGUACGCUUAACGUACAGGCUGCCGGGAAUACUGUAGAGCUAGGGAGUGGGAGAGGUAGACGGUACUCGGUAGGAAGGGGUAAAAUCCUUUGAUCUAUUGAUGACCACCUGUGGCGAAGGCGGUCUACCAGAACACGUCCGACGGUGAGGGAUGAAAGCUGGGGGAGCAAACCGGAUUAGAUACCCGGGUAGUCCCAGCUGUAAACUAUGCAAACUCAGUGAUGCAUUGGCUUUGAGGCCAAUGCAGUGCUGCAGGGAAG
rnacentral:rRNA from 1 species